CUGGCAUCGAUAAGGUCAUAAAUCUAGGGUCUUUUUAAUGGUGAUCUGGGGAAGCAGCAUGAAGCCUACACUCUAUUAAUAUAGUUCUAUAGAUUUCUAACAUAUCUCAGAUCACCUACAUCAAAGCUUGAGUAAGGAAUUUAUAAAUAUUUUACUAAAGACCUAUCAUACUAAUAGUGUGCUGAUGAAAUUCAAAACUAUUAUAAAAAUACCAUCC
rnacentral:lncRNA from 1 species